rnacentral:rRNA from 1 species
UAGGGAAUCUUCGGCAAUGGGCGAAAGCCUGACCGAGCAACGCCGCGUGAAUGAUGAAGGCCUUCGGGUUGUAAAAUUCUGUUAUAAGGGAAGAACGACUUUAGUAGGAAAUGGCUAGAGUGUGACGGUACCUUAUGAGAAAGCCACGGCUAACUACGUGCCAGCAGCCGCGGUAAUACGUAGGUGGCGAGCGUUAUCCGGAAUUAUUGGGCGUAAAGAGCGCGCAGGUGGUUGAUUAAGUCUGAUGUGAAAGCCCACGGCGUAACCGGGGAGGGUCAUUGGAAACUGGUCGGCUUGAGUGCAGAAGAGGGAAGUGGAAUUCCGUGUGUAGCGGUGAAAUGCGUAGAGAUAUGGAGGAACACCAGCGGCGAAGGCGGCUUCCUGGUCUGUAACUGACACUGAGGCGCGAAAGCGUGGGGAGCAAACA